rnacentral:rRNA from 1 species
UACGGAGGAUCCGAGCGUUAUCCGGAUUUAUUGGGUUUAAAGGGAGCGUAGGUGGAUUGUUAAGUCAGUUGUGAAAGUUUGCGGCUCAACCGUAAAAUUGCAGUUGAAACUGGCAGUCUUGAGUACAGUAGAGGUGGGCGGAAUUCGUGGUGUAGCGGUGAAAUGCUUAGAUAUCACGAAGAACUCCGAUUGCGAAGGCAGCGUACCGGCAUCCAACUGACGCUGAGGCACGAAAGCGUGGGGAUCAAACAGG